AGCCCAAAUUUGAAAUCUGGCCCCCCGGGUCCGAGUUGUAAUUUGCAGAGGAUGCCUCGGCGUAAGCCCCGAUCGAAGUUCCUUGGAACAGUGACAUCGUAGAGGGUGAGAAUCCCGUCCGUGGUCGGUGGYGGCUGCCGUGUGAGGCUCCUUCGACGAGUCGAGUUGUUUGGGAAUGCAGCUCUAAAUGGGAGGUAAAUUUCUUCCAAGGCUAAAUAUCAGCCAGAGACCGAUAGCGCACAAGUAGAGUGAUCGAAAGGUGAAAAGCACUUUGAAAAGAGGGUUAAACAGCACGUGAAAUUGUUGAAAGGGAAGCGCUUGCAACCAGAGUUGCCCGGGCGGUUCAGCCGACCUUCUGGCUCGGUGUACUUCCGUCCGGGCAGGCCAGCAUCAGUUCGGCCGGCCGGAUAAAGGCCGUGGGAAUGUGGCACCCUCGGGUGUGUUAUAGCCCGCGGCACAAUACGGCCUGGCUGGACUGAGGUCCGCGCCUCGGCAAGGAUGCUGGCGUAAUGGUUGUCAGCGGCCCGUCUUGAAACACGGACCAAGGAGUCUAACAUCUGUGCGAGUGUUCGGGUGUCAAACCCGUGAGCGUAAUGAAAGUGAACGGAGGUGGGAGCCCUCGGGCGCACCAUCGACCGAUCCUGAUGUCCUCGGAUGGAUUUGAGUAUGAGCAUAGCUGUUGGGACCCGAAAGAUGGUGAACUAUGCGUGAAUAGGGUGAAGCCAGAGGAAACUCUGGUGGAGGCUCGCAGCGGUUCUGACGUGCAAAUCGAUCGUCAAAUUUGCGCAUAGGGGCGAAAGACUAA
rnacentral:rRNA from 1 species